rnacentral:rRNA from 1 species
UUGGAGCACGGGUUUGCAAGAGUCCCUGGGGAGUCAAUUUCCCGAAUUAUAGGGAUCUAGUUUGGUCUUUCGAUUGUUGUUGCACAACCAUGCACUCUAAGUACAACUAGACGCGAUAUGCAACUCGGGCUUUAGGAUAGCUGGUUAAGCCUGAAAGGCACUUUAGUGCUGAGGUUUUUCUUUCUUAUGGGGCUAGAGAGUCCGUAAGGAAAAAGGCUAUUUGGGCCCGUGGUGUUAAGGUCGCGGGGGAAAAGAACGGCAAGGAUAUGGUUCAUUCUUUUGGUGGUGCGAGAAGUGUUCAUUUGAUAGAGUUUAUACAGAAUCCGGGGAGAGAAAAAAGGAAAUUAAUCGAGGUUCGUCUAAUAACUAAGGCUUCAAGAUAAAAAGUUUGCAGUUUUCUUUGGAUACUGCAAACAUGAGUAGAGUUGAAGUCUGUGUGGAGUUUUCCUAGUGUGGGUGAAGAAGGUGGAAGAAGUAUAAAGUGGUGCAAGAAAGCGUUUUUGAGGAGAAGGGCUCUUGUGAGAAGUAGAAAGUGCAGAAAAGGAACUCGGCAAAAGAUUUUCCCGAAUGGUUUAUUAAAAACAUUGCUGCACGGAUGAAUGUGCGGUAAGUACUGCCCGGUGCCCUUGUCAGGGUAAACGGCGGCGUAAAGUUUUAAAGUAGCGAAAUACCUAGCCCUUUAAUUGGGGGCGUGCAUGAAUGUAUCAACGUGGGAGAGACUGUCUCUUUUGCGCAGGUUUAAAUUGAACUCCAAGUGAAGUUGCUUGGGUGCCUUCAAAAGACGAGAAGACCCCGGCAGUUUUACCUAAGUGGGAAAAGAUUUUUAUGAUGGAUUGGCUGGGGCAGCAGGAGAAUAGGCAAAACUUCUUCUCCCCAAGUGUAAUGAGAGAAUGACGGUUUAAGAGCUAGCAUGGUUAAUCAAAGGGAAGAGUUACGCCGGGGGUAACAGGACGGUCUUAAAAUGGAGAACAUAUCGGUUUUAGGGUGCGUUACAUCGAUGUUGAAUCAGGGGUGCGCCUGGGUGCAGAGGCUGAGGUUAAAGGGUCUGUUCGACCUUUAAAGCCCUACGUGAUUUGAGUUUAGAACGGUGAAAGCCAGUUCGGUUUCUAUCUUUGGGGGAGUGUAACAAAAGGCAUUUUUGUACGUAAGGAAUCUUUGGUUGGAAGCGGAGGUUUGGG